rnacentral:rRNA from 1 species
UAAUACGGAGGGUGCAAGCGUUAUCCGGAUUCACUGGGUUUAAAGGGUGCGUAGGUGGGCAGUUAAGUCAGUGGUGAAAUCUCCGGGCUUAACCCGGAAACUGCCAUUGAUACUAUCUGUCUUGAAUAUCGUGGAGGUAAGCGGAAUAUGUCAUGUAGCGGUGAAAUGCUUAGAUAUGACAUAGAACACCAAUUGCGAAGGCAGCUUACUACCCGAAUAUUGACACUGAGGCACGAAAGCGUGGGGAUCAAACAGGAUUAGAUACCCUGGUAGUCCACGCCCUAAACGAUGGAUACUCGACAUACGCGAUAUACAGUGUGUGUCUGAGCGAAAGCAUUAAGUAUCCCACCUGGGAAGUACGACCGCAAGGUUG